rnacentral:rRNA from 1 species
CCUACGGGGGGCAGCAGUAGGGAAUAUUGCUCAAUGGGGGAAACCCUGAAGCAGCAACGCCGCGUGGAGGAUGAAGGUUUUCGGAUUGUAAACUCCUUUUGUUAGAGAAGAUAAUGACGGUAUCUAACGAAUAAGCACCGGCUAACUCCGUGCCAGCAGCCGCGGUAAUACGGAGGGUGCAAGCGUUACUCGGAAGCACUGGGCGUAAAGAGCGCGUAGGCGGGAUAGCAAGUCAGAUGUGAAAUCCUAGGGCUUAACCAUAGAACUGCAUUUGAAACUGUUAUUCUAGAGUAUGGGAGAGGUAGGUGGAAUUCUUGGUGUAGGGGUAAAAUCCGUAGAGAUCAAGAGGAAUACUCAUUGCGAAGGCGACCUGCUAGAACAUAACUGACGCUGAUGCGCGAAAGCGUGGGGAGCAAACAGGAUUAGAUACCCCAGUAGUC